rnacentral:rRNA from 1 species
UACGUAGGGGGCAAGCGUUGUCCGGAUUCAUUGGGCGUAAAGAGCGCGUAGGCGGCCAGGUAGGUCGGUUGUGAAAACUGGAGGCUCAACCUUCAGACGUCGACCGAAACCAUCUGGCUAGAGUCCGGGAGAGGAGAGUGGAAUUCCUGGUGUAGCGGUGAAAUGCGCAGAUAUCAGGAAGAACACCCGUGGCGAAAGCGGCUCUCUGGAACGGUACUGACGCUGAGACACGAAAGCGUGGGGAGCGAACAGG